rnacentral:rRNA from 1 species
AUACGGAGGGUGCAAGCGUUAAUCGGAAUUACUGGGCGUAAAGCGCGCGUAGGCGGUUUAGUAAGUCGGAUGUGAAAGCCCAGGGCUCAACCUUGGAAUUGCAUUCGAUACUGCUUAACUAGAGUAUGGUAGAGGGAAGUGGAAUUUCCGGUGUAGCGGUGAAAUGCGUAGAUAUCGGAAGGAACACCAGUGGCGAAGGCGACUUCCUGGGCCAAUACUGACGCUGAGGUGCGAAAGCGUGGGGAGCAAACAGGAUUAGAUACCCCAGUAGUCC